CCCGGGAUCAUGACCCGAGCCGAAGGCAGACGCUUCACCAACUGAGCCACGCAGGCGUCCCUAGAGUUAUCUUUGAAAAGAGGAGGGCAAACCGUGGGACACUCCAUCACUCUCGAUGACGUCUGAUGUCGUUUGGAGUAAGAUAAACUUCUUACCUUGACUCUUCCGUGUGCGGCUACCCGGAAUGAUCUUGCUCCGGGCACAAUAUCACUCUACGCAUUUGGUGAACACACCCGGCUUGUCUCCCUCUUGGGGUCUUUCCAUCUUCCAUUCCACUUGCUUGGACGGUUUUUGAGCGGCUGGCUCACUGUGUUGGCCACGCUUCUGUGGUGUUGCCGCAGGCUCCGUGGGAGUUCUUCUGUCUUCUUGACAGAGUCAGGACUGUGGGGGAGGUGGCUAACCUGUUCCAUGCAGCGUUCUUCAUCCUGGCAGCGAGGUUUUGAAGUGGGCCAAUCAGCUCACUGAAAAAUGUGGGGGAAAAAGUAUUUUGUGGAACUGUAUGAAAUUAGAUAUUUUACACUUUGACCUACAAAGUGGCCAUUUUUAUAUGAUUGCUCGUAAUGCUUUGGCAUCUUCCUGGCUCUUUGAGUAUUUCUCGCUAAUAUUCUCACCUGGGACAUAGCUCCUGCCUCUUCCCAUCCAGGUGUGUUAUUCUACCAAACCGCGCUCUGUUUCCUCUCCAGAUUUCUAACUUUUUCUGUCCUUCCCCCAACUAAAAUUUCCAUUUUUAGUCCGGCUAAUCUCAGCGACUGGGUGAAAAGCCGUUAGAAAAAAUUUGUAUUAACUUGAGACAAGUUGGUAGCUCUUUGCUCCUACUAGAGUUAUUGGCAUUUAAAGAAGAUUCUGGGUAGCCCAUGCACAGUUUCACUUGACAAAAUUUAAGACACUUUGAGAAAGUGGAAUGAAACAAUGCAUUGUGGAUGGUUGUAUUUGUCAAUGUAUAUUUUUCUAUUACACACAUGACAGAAUAUCUACAUCAAAAUGGCUUAAGUAAAGAGUAUUUAUUUAUACAUGAUGAGAAGAGUGGACUUCUCCCACCCUCCACACACACACCGGAAACAAGUAAAAAAGACAGGACAGAAUAGAUAAAACAGUGGUUUUUAAGACAUUGAACUUCAGGCAAUAACAAACAGGAUCUCUGACAUGGACAAGAAGGGAGGUACACCUGGAGUCUGAAGGAAAGGAGGUAUGGAGACAAAUGGAAACAUGGGCUCAAAUACUUCCAAAUUGAUGAAAGACUACACACCCACAAACCCAAGAAUUUCAAUGAGCUCCAAACACAAGAGACAUGAAGAAAAUUACAGAAAGCAGGCUAUAAUCACAUUUCUUAAAAACCAGUGAUCCAGAAUAAAGUCUUAAAAGCAGCUGGAGGGUGGGGAGAGACGUUCGGUGUCCAGAGAAGCACAGAUAAGAAGGGCAGUGGAUUUUGCAUCUGAAACAAUGUAAGUGAGAAGACAGAGCAGCAUUUUUAAAGAACUGGACAGAAAACAAAAUCCCAAAUUGACAUUUUGGAAUUCUAUAGUUAGAAAAAAAUAGCCCCCCAAAACAGAGGCAAAAUAAAGACAUGUUUGGGCAUACAAAGGCCAGAAGAAUUAGUUACCUGGAGAUUCCACUAUAAGAAAUGCAGGACAGUGACACCAGGUGAAAUCUGGGUCUAUACAAGGAACAAGGAUACCAGACAAGGAAGUUGUGCACGUUUCCUCGGACACACGCGCCCCUGCAAAGUGUGAGCACAGAUCCUACGCCUGACCUUGGGCCCAGGAAACCGAGAUGUGCCCCGGACUGCCCACCAGAGGGCGGCCUGAACCGCGUAGCAGGUGCCGGCACAGGAUUCUCCUGCUGAAAGUCCUGGAGACACAGGGCUGGCGCCGGAGAAGCCGGAAACCGUCACAGAGAGGGCUGGGUACGCCAAAUGUCCCCUUCCCCUCCCUCAGCUUGGUGGGUUUCCAGGGGAAGGAGGUACUGAGCUCCCUCCCUGAUCUGUGUCGGGUGCAGAGCGUGGACGGGACAUUGGGAUAGCUGUUCUGUGGCGUCCAUUUCCUUCUGUUGGUGGGGGUGCGGGUAACAAGGAGACGGAGAGCCCCAUGACCUCAGAGCUCCGAGGGUCAGCCAGUGACCUGCCGUAGGCUCCGCCUGGAGACUGCCACCCUGACCUCCCCGGCCAGUGACCCGCCCUCUGCUCGUCAUCUCAGCCCCUGAACAAAUGCUCUGGUGUUUCCGCACGCCAAACUUGGAGCGGCCGGUUGGAGCCACAGCUCCUGUCUUGUCCUGGACUCAGCUCGCAGGAGUAGACAGGCUGCCCCACCUGGACCCCGGUCCCCUCAGCAACAUGCUGCUCAGGAGCGCACCCGGAGGGGCUGCUUGCUGGGGUCUCGCUCAUUCCAGCCUGGGGUGUCCAGGUGUCGGAGGUUGCCGUCGGCCAGCACGUUCCUUUCUUCCUGGGAACACGGUGUGACGCCCUGGACCCCUGGGCAGGUAGGCGUGGCCGACGGCAUGAGGGUGCAACGGCUGACCGUAAAUCUUCCACAUCAGCAGCCGUCCCCUGUGUCGUGUGCCUGGCUUGCUGUAGGCAGCAGGCUGGGGACACCGGGUCCCUGGAUCGCCACGCGAGGAAGCCACGCAGUGGGGUAACGGUGAACGAGAAAUAAACACCUGUUCUGCAUCAGCAUCCGAUGCUUUUGGAUGUGCUUGUUUGGGCUGCUGGCUUCGUCUUACCUAAAACAGGCUUUCUUUCAGAUCCGGGGAGAGAGCCGAGCGAAGAGAAUCACAGGGCAGCCAUCCCCACUGCAUGGCGCCGGGACUGCGGCUGGCCCGAGUCGAUGCAA